UGUGCCAGCCGCCGCGGUAAUACGUAGGGUGCGAGCGUUGUCCGGAAUUAUUGGGCGUAAAGAGCUUGUAGGCGGUUUGUCGCGUCUGCUGUGAAAGCCCGGGGCUUAACCCCGGGUCUGCAGUGGGUACGGGCAGGCUAGAGUGUGGUAGGGGAGACUGGAAUUCCUGGUGUAGCGGUGGAAUGCGCAGAUAUCAGGAGGAACACCGAUGGCGAAGGCAGGUCUCUGGGCCACUACUGACGCUGAGAAGCGAAAGCGUGGGGAGCG
rnacentral:rRNA from 1 species